GAGUUUGAUUAUGGCUCAGAGUGAACGCUGGCGGCGUGCCUAAUACAUGCAAGUCGAACGGAGAUUAAAGUAAGCUUGCUUAUUUUAAUCUUAGUGGCGCACGGGUGAGUAAUGUAUAGCUAAUCUGCCCUACACUAGAGGACAACAGUUGGAAACGACUGCUAAUACUCUAUACUCCUUCUUUACAUAAGUUAAGUCGGGAAAGUUUUUCGGUGUAGGAUGAGGCUAUAUCGUAUCAGCUAGUUGGUGAGGUAAUGGCUCACCAAGGCUAUGACGCGUAACUGGUCUGAGAGGAUGAUCAGUCACACUGGAACUGAGACACGGUCCAGACUCCUACGGGAGGCAGCAGUAGGGAAUAUUGCUCAAUGGGGGAAACCCUGAAGCAGCAACGCCGCGUGGAGGAUGACACUUUUCGGAGCGUAAACUCCUUUUCUUGGGAAAGAAUUAUGA
rnacentral:rRNA from 1 species